AACGCGAAGAACCUUACCUGGGCUCGAAGCACAGUGGAACGCUGGGUAGAAAUACCCUCGACGUGAUUAAGACUGCUGUGGAGGUGCUGCAUGGCUGUCGUCAGCUCGUGUCGUGAGAUGUUGGGUUAAGUCCCGCAACGAGCGCAACCCUUAUCCCUAGUUGCUACCGGGUCAAGCCGAGCACUCUAGUGAAACUGCCUCGGAUAACGAGGAGGAAGGUGGGGAUGACGUCAAGUCCUCAUGGCCUUUAUGUCCAGGGCUACACACGUGCUACAAUGGUCGGUACAAACCGUCGCAAACCCGCGAGGGGGAGCUAAUCGGAAAAAGCCGACCUCAGUUCGGAUUGGAGUCUGCAACUCGACUCCAUGAAGCUGGAAUCGCUAGUAAUCGCGGAUCAGAACGCCGCGGUGAAUACGUUCCCGGGCCUUGUACACACCGGUACUA
rnacentral:rRNA from 1 species